rnacentral:rRNA from 1 species
AGAGUUUGAUCAUGGCUCAGGAUGAACGCUAGCUACAGGCUUAACACAUGCAAGUCGAGGGGAAACGACAUCGAAAGCUUGCUUUUGAUGGGCGUCGACCGGCGCACGGGUGAGUAACGCGUAUCCAACCUGCCCAUCACUUGGGGAUAACCUUGCGAAAGUAAGACUAAUACCUAAUGAUAUCUCUAGAAGACAUCUGAAAGAGAUUAAAGAUUUAUCGGUGAUGGAUGGGGAUGCGUCUGAUUAGCUUGUUGGCGGGGUAACGCCACAAGGCUACGAUCAGUAGGGGUUCUGAGAGGAAGGUCCCCCANAUUGGAACUGAGACACGGUCCAAAUCCUACGGGAGGCA